rnacentral:rRNA from 1 species
ACUGAGGAAAAGAAACCAACAGGGAUUGCCUUAGUAACGGCGAGUGAAGCGGCAAAAGCUCAAAUUUGAAAUCUGGCACCUUCGGUGUCCGAGUUGUAAUUUGAAGAAGGUAACUUUGGAGUUGGCUCUUGUCUAUGUUCCUUGGAACAGGACGUCACAGAGGGUGAGAAUCCCGUGCGAUGAGAUGCCCAAUUCUAUGUAAAGUGCUUUCGAAGAGUCGAGUUGUUUGGGAAUGCAGCUCUAAGUGGGUGGUAAAUUCCAUCUAAAGCUAAAUAUUGGCGAGAGACCGAUAGCGAACAAGUACAGUGAUGGAAAGAUGAAAAGAACUUUGAAAAGAGAGUGAAAAAGUACGUGAAAUUGUUGAAAGGGAAGGGCUUGAGAUCAGACUUGGUAUUUUGCGAUCCUUUCCUUCUUGGUUGGGUUCCUCGCAGCUUACUGGGCCAGCAUCGGUUUGGAUGGUAGGAUAAUGACUAAGGAAUGUGGCUCUACUUCGGUGGAGUGUUAUAGCCUUGGUUGAUACUGCCUGUCUAGACCGAGGACUGCGUCUUUGACUAGGA